CCUGCCCAGUGAACAAUUAAACGGCCGCGGUACCCUAACCGUGCAAAGGUAGCGUAAUCACUUGUCUAUUAAUUGUAGACCCGCAUGAAAGGCAAAAUGAGGGCCUAACUGUCUCUUGUAGUACGUCAAUUAAACUGAUCUUCUAGUCCAAAAGCUAGAAUACCCCCAUAAGACCAGAAGACCCUGUGAAGCUUAAACUAAACUAUUAAACCCUAUAAUAGCUCCUUUCGGUUGGGGCGACCUUGGAAAAAAAAAGAACUUCCAAUGCAGAAUCCUAUAAAUUCCACCAGGCCGACAAGCCACUAAUAGACCCAGCACAGCUGACAAUUGAACCAAGUUACUCCAGGGAUAACAGCGCUAUCUUCUUCAAGAGCCCAUAUCAAAAAGAAGGUUUACGACCUCGAUGUUGGAUCAGGACAUCCUGAUGGUGCAACCGCUAUCAAAGGUUCGUUUGUUCAACGAUUAACAGUCCUACGUGAUC
rnacentral:rRNA from 1 species